rnacentral:misc_RNA from 1 species
GAUGAAGAACGUAGCGAAAUGCGAUAAGUAAUGUGAAUUGCAGAAUUCAGUGAACCAUCGAAUCUUUGAACGCACAUUGCGCCCGGCAGUAAUCUGCCGGGCAUGCCUGUCCGAGCGUCAUUUCUGCCCUCGAGCCUGUCCAGCAUCUAGGUGCUGUUCCGGCCCGGCGUUGGGGCACUACGGGAAGCCUCGUGCUAUCCCCCGUAGGCCCCGAAAUGAAGUGGCGGUCCUGCCGCGACUCCCCCUGCGUAGUAUUACAGCUCGCUUCGGGACCCGGUGGAGGCCUGCCGUCAAACCUUACUCUCUAAGUUUGACCUCGGAUCAGGUAGGGUUACCCGCUGAACUUAAGCAUAUCAAUAAGCGGAGGA